UACGAAGGGGGCUAGCGUUGCUCGGAAUCACUGGGCGUAAAGCGCACGUAGGCGGCUUUCUAAGUCAGGGGUGAAAUCCUGGAGCUCAACUCCAGAACUGCCUUUGAUACUGGAGAGCUCGAGUCCGGAAGAGGUGAGUGGAACUGCGAGUGUAGAGGUGAAAUUCGUAGAUAUUCGCAAGAACACCAGUGGCGAAGGCGGCUCACUGGUCCGGUACUGACGCUGAGGUGCGAAAGCGUGGGGAGCAAACAGGG
rnacentral:rRNA from 1 species